GUUGAUUGAUCAAAGUUAAUAAACCUCCACAAAGUCGUAAAAUCAUGUCUAGGGGCUGACACCCACCAGGUAUCGGAAGGUCAAGAAAGUUGUUGACAUGAUGACAAGGGAAUCAAUGACUAAAGCCCCAGUGACCAACAACCAUAACUACAAUGGUUCUAAAGUAGUGAAAUUCCUUGUCGAGUAAGUUUUGAUACACAUGAACCAGACCUACAUAC
rnacentral:rRNA from 1 species